GUGGUUGUGCAACCUUUCAGCCGUGUCUGUGUUUUAUUAAACAGGUGUCGAUGGGUUAAUGAGUAUUGUAUCUUAUUGACCUGUUGGCAUGCUUUCGGAUGCCUUUAAACGGGUGUCGGGGGCGGACGGCAUCUUUACUUUGAACAAAUUUGAGUGCUCAAAGCAGGCCUAUGCGCCUGAAAAUUCUUGCAUGGAAUAAUGAAAUAGGACUUCGGUUCUAUUUUGUUGGUUUUCGGAUCCGAAGUAAUGGUUAAGAGGGACAGACGGGGGCAUUUGUAUGGCGGUGUUAGAGGUGAAAUUCUGGGAUCGCCGCCAGACAAACUACAGCGAAAGCAUUUGCCAAGAAUGUUUUCAUUGAUCAGGAGCGAAAGUCAGAGUUUCGAAGACGAUCAGAUACCGUCGUAGUUCUGACCAUAAACGAUGCCAACUGACGAUCCGCGUUGGUUCUAUAAUUGACAUCGCGGGCAGUCCCCGGGAAACCUUUAAGUCUUUGGGCUCCGGGGGGAGUAUGGUUGCAAAGCUGAAACUUAAAGGAAUUGACGGAAGGGCACCACCAGGAGUGGAGCCUGCGGUUUAAUUCGACUCAACACGGGAAAACUCACCCGGCCCGGACACUGUGAGGAUUGACAGAUUGAAAGCUCUUUCUUGAUUCGGUGGUUGGUGGUGCAUGGCCGUUCUUAGUUGGUGGAGCGAUUUGUCUGGUUAAUUCCGAUAACGAACGAGACUUUAACCUACUAAAUAGUAGACUGGUCCUCUGUGCUCGUUCAGGGCGCGGCUUCUACUGCUUCUUUAUGGAGUAGUGUGGUCGUGAUCCGACGGGUGCGGUGCCAGUUUUUACUUCUUAGAGGGACAAGCGGCACACUUAAGUCGCACGAAAUUGAGCCAUAACAGGUCUGUGAUGCCCUUAAGAUGUCCGGGGCCACACGUGCGCUACAAUGACGGUGCCAGCGAGCCUGGAAACCUGGCCCGAAAGGGUUGGGCAAACUGUUUCAUCACCGUCGUGACUGGGAUCGGGGCUUGCAAUUAUUCCCCGUGAACGAGGAAUUCCUGGUAAGUGCAAGUCAUAAGCUUGCGCUGAUUACGUCCCUGCCCUUUGUACACACCGCCCGUCGCUACUACCGAUUGAAUGGUUUAGUGAGGUCGUUGGAUUGGUGUCGUUGUAGUGGCUUUAUCGCUGCUCGACUGAUAUCGAGAAGACGACCUAAUUUGACUAUUUAGAGGAAGUAAAAGUCGUAACAAGGUUUCCGUAGGUGAACCUGCGGAAG
rnacentral:rRNA from 1 species